rnacentral:lncRNA from 1 species
AGGGGACUGGCUACUGGCUGAGAAGUGGGGUAGGGCCCGCUCUGGGACCCAUCACCUGCCUUUCGCCUUUCGCUGUCAGGCCUGCACCUGAGAAAGAGGCGAAUAAAGGGGAGGCCUGUUGUCACAUGCGUUUAAAAACCAAAUUUAAUGGAUGCUUUACCAUUAAGACACAGUUCUACUUUUCUUUAAAAAGACUUGGAGGCUCAAGCUGACUCAGCGCUACCUGCCCGAAGCUUUGCCCAGUGCCUUCCAAAGCCCCGAGUGGCACAGGACCCCCCCACCCCACCCCGGUGGUGCCCGGCUUCAUGCAGGACUUGUGGCUCCGGAUGGGGGUGCUGCGUAGUUAUUCCCGCCGAGAGCACAGCUGUUCACUCCCGACCCACCCCGGCCCCACUCUCAAGAUUCAACGCUUGCCAGAGAGAAAGACGGACGCCCAGACACACGACAGGCGGGCUUUCAGCAUCUCAUCGAGAGCCCAAAUCCCAAACCGGUCCUUGGUUUUCUGAAACCCAUGAAAGCAAACCUUUGACAGGUGCACAGGCCUGUGGCUUGGGCCUGGGGACAUUUCUGGAGGAUAAGAGGUCUACCUCAACUUUCAGAAUCGGGUUCCACUGUCAGGAGGAUUGGGGAUGGCACCUGGCCUGUGGCCCCUGGACGGAACCCUCCCUCCCAGGACCGAACAAUGAAUUCCUACAGCUCUGGGAAAAUCACAGCAAUCACGCAAACCCACUGCUCCCCGCAGGACCACGGUUCCGAUUUCUUUGACAAUCUACGUCCUAAGCUUUAUAUAUUUCCUCAGUUUCCCUCUGUUUUUAUUUGGCAAACAUCCCUCUUUAUUAUCACCACCAUGAACAUUAUUUGGACCUCUGCAAGGACUAUAUACAUUCACAUUAGCGUAGACUAUUGACUUCUUGCCUCUCGGCGGGGCCCCCAAGAGCCCCAGUUUCAGUAGCUGGUCACUCCCCGUAUUGCACUGCAGUCCUGGGAAUCUCUCACAGCGAUGCAAGAAAAUGCCAGACCACGGGCCGUGUCUGCCGUGGGUCCUCCCACUGGGUCCACGCGACGGCUUCCUUAC